GACGAACGCUGGCGGCGUGCUUAACACAUGCAAGUCGAACGGUGAAAGCGGAGCUUGCUCCGCUGGAUCAGUGGCGAACGGGUGAGUAACACGUGGGCAACCUGCCCCUCACUUCGGGAUAACUCCGGGAAACCGGGGCUAAUACCGGAUAUGACCUCCUUGGGCAUCCUUGGAGGUGGAAAGUUUUUCGGUGAGGGAUGGGCCCGCGGCCUAUCAGCUUGUUGGUGAGGUAGUGGCUCACCAAGGCGACGACGGGUAGCCGGCCUGAGAGGGCGACCGGGCACAGUGGGACUGAGACACGGUCCAGACUCCUACGGGAGGCAGCAGUGGGGAAUAUUGCGCAAUGGGCGAAAGCCUGACGCAGCAACGCGGCGUGCGGGAUGACGGCCUUCGGGUUGUAAACCGCUGUCAGCAGGGAAGAAGCCGCAAGGUGACGGUACCUGCAGAAGAAGCACCGGCUAACUACGUGCCAGCCGCCGCGGUAA
rnacentral:rRNA from 1 species